CCCUUAGAUGUCCUGGGCCGCGCGCGCGCUACACUGACAUGUUCAACAAGCCUCCUAGUUCGACAGGGUUUGGGAAAUCUUUGAACGCAUGUCGUGAUAGGGAUAGAUCAUUGCAAUUAUUGAUCUUGAACGAGGAAUUCCUAGUAAACGCGAGUCAUCAGCUCGCAUUGAUUACGUCCCUGCCCUUUGUACACACCGCCCGUCGCACCUACCGAUUGAAUGUUUCGGUGAAGAUUCCGGAUAGGACUUUUUUGAUUUAUUUCAAUUUUGUCUUAAAAGCUAUCUAAACCUCAACAUUUAGAGGAAGGUGAAGUCGCAACA
rnacentral:rRNA from 1 species